CGAAUCGCCACUUCUCUUAUCUGGGUGCUCUGCCCGCCCUUGUCGGCGCCCAGUACCUUCAUUUUCACAAGAU
rnacentral:misc_RNA from 1 species